AGCUCCAGGUGGAAAGCAGGUGUGGCCUCCGCCCAUAUCACAUGCAUUUGUGAUAGAGGUGCUAGAAGGCUUUCAUUUGUUUUUUUCAUUUUUCAUUGUUUUUUUCAUUUGUUUUUGCUCCUUAGUGGAUUUUGUGUCAGCAGCAUGUGGGAUUUCCUUUGGUCACUUAACAUCAUCUUAUCAUCUGGACACCAGCACUCAGAACAGCACGGCAGCUCUACUUCAUGGCUUCUACUUCAUGGCUGCAGGACUGCCAGCUGAAAAUUCAUCUGAAAUGUGACUACAGCAGUGCAAAUGCUCAGCUUGAAUACGUAAGAAUGUGAGUCUUCUCAUCCACCCAUUGUCAUCUUCGCACUGAUGUUGCUAGUAGGACCUUAAAGACCGUCUAGUAGUACAGAGCACUGGCAAAACCAG
rnacentral:lncRNA from 1 species